rnacentral:lncRNA from 1 species
CUUGCCCUUGACCAUCCCAGUCCCGUUCUCAUAAUCUCAGCAUCUUUAUUCACCGCGGUGGUAUCUGUUACUGUGUUCUUGCUGAUAGCCGGAUGGACACGCGGCAAUGGCAAAUUGGUGCGCAUUGGUGUGUCGCUGGCCCAACUCGAAUUCUAUUUGAUGAUGGUCUUGUUUGUACUUGCGAUGAGGUGCAUUGGUGAUCGGUGAGAGCAAGAGGAAGCGGGGUCAGCGUUUGCACAGUAGAUUUUCUUUACUUCGGUCUUCUGUUUUU